ACCGGAUUUACUGAAACUGCAGGACCUAAUGCCAGUUUGAAGACACUCUGUUGGUGCGUCGCUGUAUCUGAAUGAGUUACUGUUGGUUGAGGACACCCCAUUCACAGCUGAUGAGAGUGGCAGGAUGAGAGACAGCCAAGGGCCUGAGGACCCGAGGAUACAAAGACUCCUGACACGUCUGCCUCCAGCUCCGGCUUUACUCUCUAACACAAAGAAGCACAUGCAAAGAAAUCAGCUGACGGUGUUCUGGAUCGAUGUACCAUGAGAAGAAUAAGAGAAGACUCAAAGACAAAUAACGCUCACCAUGUGAAUCUUCAGCGUCUUAUGGUCAUUAGAGAAACUGCAGAAGAGUGAAAUGACCAAUUAGCCUGAUACUGUGUGGGUCAGUGUGAUGAUGGUGUCAGUGUCUGGACUCAGCAGCAGCAUAUUUGCAUCAGUCAUCCCAACUAGACCGUGAAGAGAAGGAUUUCCCUGCUCCGUUGUACCACAGAGUACCGCAUGGCGAAAAUGUGAUGCUGCAGGACCAUGUGCGAUGCCAUGCACAAAGAGGCUGGAGGCGGAGCUUGGAUGCUGACAAGUCUACUACUGCAUGCGCUCAUUGGCUCUCAAUGACAUCACUGCAAGGAGAGUGAAAGGAGUGAGUCUACCGUUCGAUCGCUCUCACACAUUCACAGACAGAAUAAAGAGCACAAGUGAAGGAGGCCACUGACAUUUCCGAUGACAUUUUCUUGCAAAGUUUUGCAAGCUUGUCCAAAUUAGCGGCAGCAUGAUAAUAGGCAAAAUACUAAAGUGCCAUCUUAAUUCUCAGGCCCACUCCCACCUGCCCUCUCUCCUCAGUGCACACAGAGGUUUGAGGGAUUAAAGUCACAAAGCAGUUAGAAGUGGUUUCACAGCUCAGAAGGCAAUUCACACAACUGUAGUCCAUCUAUCCAUUAAGCACUGACAUCACAGAGCAUCUCAAAGUAAAUAUGAUUGAUCGAUUACUUGUUGAUAUUGUGCCAAGCAUAGAGGAUAUUCCCUGUCAAAAUGGGCUUACAAGGCACCGUUAUUUACAAAUAACAUUAAACCAAUAAACUGUACUGUUGUCCGGGCUUUACACACAUAACUAGCCAACUUAUAUACAUUUGACUCAAACAUCCACUCCAUUCCAGUCACCACCGGUGUCCAUUUCUGGAUUUUAAAUAAAUAAAUGUGUGUUUAGUUCAUUAUCAUGAGCACAACACAGUAGAAAAUGUGACUCGUUCUUAAUUUCCCCUACAUCACAUAAUUCACACAAUUUAUUCUCCUUAUAAAAUGCUUUAAUCUGCCAAAUUAGAGGGUGAGGGUAAGGCUUCCUGUUCUUAACUGAGCAACUGAAGGCCGCUGUCUUCUUGAUAAAUUUGCUUUAUCAUUUUGUUCAGCAUAAUAGUUAUGCUUUGAAUUUGAAUGUAUGUUCUUAAUUUCUCUUUGCAUCUUUGCACACAACGGGGGUGUCAAACAUACGGCCCGAGGGCCAGAAUCGGCCCACCAGAGGGUCCAAUUUUGGCCCGCAUGAUGCAUUUGUGAAAAUUCUGGAACGGAAACACUAUAUUUACAACAUGAAAAGUUGGAUUUCUGAUGAGUCAGGGAAAUGCAUCCAACUUUGUCAUUAAUUAAAAAGAAAGUUAAUAUAACUGUGUCUACGUACCAGUUUGGCUUAUUAAGAAAUAUGGGACAUUUUCAUUGUCAAUAUUAACUCAUUAUGUUCAGUGAAUAGUGGGAAGUGCCACAAACGUUAACAAUGCAUGCUCAUGAGGCGCUUUUGGUACAUUUACUGGUCAAGUGCAUAGACUGCAAGUACACAGCAAGUGUGAGAAGACAACAUUACAUAGAGUUUAUGAGAAUAAAGAAAUCCAGGUUACUCUCCGGUCUGCUUUUAUUGACUUAAAUUGAAGGUUUAGAGAAUUUAACAAACUGGAUGCACUUUAUUUCAUUCAAAUAAACAUUAGUAAAGUUUCUCUUGACUUCAGCUUGAACGUAUGUGGUGUUUGUACAGUGUGUACAGACAAGUGGCUGAACAAGUGCCACAUCCCAAGAAAAAAGUGAUAUUACCUACCCAAGUUGAGUC